UGGAUCCACACUAAUCUUUUCCAAAUUUAGUUGUGAAAUUUUUGAGCAGAACGUAUACUUUAGAGGUCACUUUAUGGGAAACAAUCUUUAUGC
rnacentral:rRNA from 1 species